rnacentral:rRNA from 1 species
CCUACGGGUGGCAGCAGUGGGGAAUAUUGCGCAAUGGGCGAAAGCCUGACGCAGCGACGCCGCGUGAGGGAUGCAGGUUUUCGGAUCGUACACCUCUGUCAGCAGGGAAGAACGUGCAUUGUGCUAAUCAGCAGUGAAUUGACGGUACCUGCAAAUGAAGCACCGGCUAACUCCGUGCCAGCAGCCGCGGUAAUACGGAGGGUGCGAGCGUUAAUCGGAAUUACUGGGCGUAAAGCGCUCGUAGGCGGUAUGUCAAGUCAAGGGUGAAAUCCCCGCGCUCAACGGGGGAACUGACUUUGAAACUGGCAAACGUGAGUGUGUGAGAGGAUAGUGGAAUUCCAGGUGUAGGAGUGAAAUCCGUAGAUAUCUGGAGGAACAUCAGUGGCGAAGGCGACUGUCUGGCACAUAACUGACGCUGAGGAGCGAAAGCGUGGGUAGCAAACAGGAUUAGAUACCCUUGUAGUC